GGAUCUGUCGAUUACUAUGGAGUUGUUGCUGGCCUCUAGGGGCAUGUGCACGCUUCACUAGUCUUUCAACCACCUGUGAACUUUUGAUAGAUCUGUGAAGUCGUCUCUCAAGUCGUCAGACUUGGUUGCUGGGAUUUAAACGUCUCGGUGUGACUACGCAGUCUAUUUACUUACACACCCCAAAUGUAUGUCUACGAAUGUCAUUUAAUGGGCCUUGUGCCUUUAAACCAUAAUACAACUUUCAACAACGGAUCUCUUGGCUCUCGCAUCGAUGAAGAACGCAGCGAAAUGCGAUAAGUAAUGUGAAUUGCAGAAUUCAGUGAAUCAUCGAAUCUUUGAACGCACCUUGCGCCCCUUGGUAUUCCGAGGGGCAUGCCUGUUUGAGUGUCAUUAAAUUCUCAAACUCACUUUGGUUUCUUUCCAAUUGUGAUGUUUGGAUUGUUGGGGGCUGCUGGCCUUGACAGGUCGGCUCCUCUUAAAUGCAUUAGCAGGACUUCUCAUUGCCUCUGCGCAUGAUGUGAUAAUUAUCACUCAUCAAUAGCACGCAUGAAUAGAGUCCAGCUCUCUAAUCGUCCGCAAGGACAAUUUGACAAUUUGACCUCAAAUCAGGUAGGACUACCCGCUGAACUUAAGCAUAUCAAA
rnacentral:rRNA from 1 species